rnacentral:rRNA from 1 species
CCUAGUUAAUUCUACUAGUAGUUAUAUAUUUAUCUUAAAAGUUAAGCUAUAUAUAUUUAAAUAUAAGUAAUUAUAUAGUAAAACUGCAAAUAGCUUAUUAUAUAAAUUAUUAUUUAUUUGAUAGUAUCUUACUAUUUAGAUAAUUAUAGUAAUUUUAGAGCUAAUAUAUACUAAAAAUUCUAACUUCAGAAAGGAUAUAUUUAUUAGAUUAAAAACUAAUACCUUUUGGGGCUUACUAGUGAUUUAUAAUAACUUCUCGAAUCGUAUAGUUUUAUGCUAGCGAUGGUUUAUUUAAAUUUCUUCUCUAUUAACUUUCGAUACUAGAAUAGUGUUCUAGUAUAGUUAUAAUAGGUAAUAGAGGGUUAGGGCUUAACUCUGGAGAAGGAGCUUAAGAAAUAGCUACUAUAUCUAAGGAAGAUAGUAGGUAUGCAAAUUACUUAAUUCCAAUAUAGGGAGGUAGUGAUAAUAAAUACUGAUAUAAAGUUUUUUUGGGUUUUAUAAUUAGAAUAAGUAUAAUUUAAAUUUAUUAACGAGGAAUAAUUAGAGGGUAAGUUUGGUGCCAGUAGUUAUAGUAAUUUUAGUUCUAAUAGUGUAUAUUAAAGUUAUUAUAAUUAAAAAGCUUAUAGUAGAAUUUUAAGCCUAGCUGACUGGUCUACUUUACUGUAUAUACUGGUCCGGCUAGGCUUUUCCCUCUGUAGAACUAUAUACCUUUUAUUAGGUGUAUUAGGGAAACAGGACUUUUACUUUAAAAAAAUUAGAAUACUCCAGAUAAGCUUAUACUUAAAUAUAUUAGUAUAGAAUAAUAGAAUAGGAUAUAUAGUUCUAUUUUAUUAGUUUCUAGGACCACUAUAAUAAUUAAUAGGGAUAGUUAGGAGUAUUAGUAUUUAAUUAUUAGAAGUGAAAUUUUUAGAUUUAUUAAAAACUAAUUACUACGAAAGUAUUUACUAAGGAUGUUUUUAUUUAUUAGGAAUGAAAGUUAGGAGAUCGAAGAUAAUUAGAUACUGUUAUAGUCUUAACUAUAAAUUAUACUAACUAGGGAUUGGAUAAUAUUAUUUUUUGACUUAUUUGGUACCUUACGAGAAAUUAAAAUACUUAGGCUCCAGGGGGAGUAUGGUUAUAAGGUUGAAACUUAAAGAAAUUAAUAAAAGGAUACCACUAGGGGUAAAUAGUAGCUAUUUAAGCUCUACCCCAGACAGUAAGCCUGUAAAAAGUCUAGUAGCUAGCUUCAAAUCGCUAGUUACUCCAGUAGUAGUAAUAUCCCCCAAUUAUAAGAAACCUUUAGAGGAUAGCACUCCUAAGUAACGCUUAAAAGAGACGCUAUAACAGCAGUAUAAUAGCUAUUAAUAUAAGGAUAAUAUACUACUUAUAAGGCGACUUAUAGCUAAGCUCCUAAUUAUAGGGAAGGUUUAGAGACUUAAUAGGGAUAGGUGGCGCCCCUAGGCACUACUUAAGAUAGAGUCUGUAUCUACUCGAGAGAAUAGGGAUUAACUAGUAUAUUACCUAAAAAGGAAGUCUGCAGCUUAAUUUAACUUAACACAAGGAAACUCACCAGGUCCAGACACAAUAAAGAUUAAUAGAUUAAGAGCUUUUUCUUAAUUUUAUAAGUAAUAGUAUAUAGCUAUUCUUAGUUAGUAGAGUAAUUUAUCUACUUAAUUACAAUAACAAACAAGACCUUAACCUACUAAAUAGUCUAUAUUACUUUAGUAAUAUACUAAUUUCUUAGAGAGACUAUUAGCUUAAGCUAAUAGAAAUUUAAAGUAAUAACAAGUUAAUCUUUACAGACUUAUAAUAGU